rnacentral:rRNA from 1 species
CCUACGGGAGACUGCAGUGGGGAAUAUUGCACAAUGGGGGAAACCCUGAUGCAGCGACGCCGCGUGAGUGAAGAAGUAUUUCGGUACGUAAAGCUCUAUCAGCAGGGAAGAAAAUGACGGUACCUGACUAAGAAGCCCCGGCUAACUACGUGCCAGCAGCCGCGGUAAUACGUAGGGGGCAAGCGUUAUCCGGAUUUACUGGGUGUAAAGGGAGCGUAGACGGCAGCGCAAGUCUGGAGUGAAAUCCCAUGGCUUAACCAUGGAACUGCUUUGGAAACUGUGCAGCUAGAGUGCAGGAGAGGGAAGCGGAAUUCCUAGUGUAGCGGUGAAAUGCGUAGAUAUUAGGAGGAACACCAGUGGCGAAGGCGGCUUACUGGACUGUAACUGACGUUGAGGCUCGAAAGCGUGGGGAGCAAACAGGAUUAGAUACCCCAGUAGUC